UUUCAGAUUGUCUUCAUUCUUAGUAACUGUAUCAGGUAAAAAUUGUGUUCUCAUUUAGUGGGUUCACAAUUAGUUCUGUUACAUUUUUACAGCCUUUGUUUUGUUAUGUUUUUUGGGGUUGGGUGAUAUUCCUUCAAACUUACAGUAUCUAAUGUUGUAUGGAUCAGUGUUGUCAAAUAGCGGCGCUAUAGUGUAGUGAAAUUUGAACAAACCAC
rnacentral:lncRNA from 1 species